rnacentral:rRNA from 1 species
GAUGAACGCUGGCGGCGUGCUUAACACAUGCAAGUCGAACGGAAAGGCCCUGCUUUUGUGGGGUGCUCGAGUGGCGAACGGGUGAGUAACACGUGAGUAAUCUGCCCUUGACUUUGGGAUAACGUCAGGAAACUGGGGCUAAUACAGGAUAGGAGCACCUGUUGUAUGGUGGGGGUUGGAAGGUUUCGGCGGUUGGGGAUGGACUCGCGGCUUAUCCGCUUGUUGGUGGGGUAGUGGCUUACCAAGGCUUUGACGGGUAGCCGGCCUGAGAGGGUGACCGGCCAUAUUGGGACUGAUAUGCGGCCCAAACUCCUACGGGAGGCAGCAGUGGGGGAUAGUGCACAAUGGGCGGAAGCCUUGUGCAGCAGCGCCGCGUGCGGUAUGACGGCCUUCGGUUUAUAACCCGUUUUCGCCUGUGACGAAGCGUGAGUGACGGUAAUGGGUAAAGAAGCACCGGCUAACUACGUG